rnacentral:rRNA from 1 species
CACGUAGGGCGCAAGCGUUGUCCGGAAUUAUUGGGCGUAAAGAGCUCGUAGGUGGUUUGUUACGUCCGCUGUGAAAACCUAGGGCUUAACCCUGGGCUUGCAGUGGAUACGGGCAGACUAGAGGUAGGUAGGGGAGAAUGGAAUUCCUGGUGUAGCGGUGAAAUGCGCAGAUAUCAGGAGGAACACCGGUGGCGAAGGCGGGUCUCUGGGCAGUAACUGACGCUGAGGAGCGAAAGCGUGGGGAGCGAACAGG